UACGAAGGGGGCUAGCGUUGCUCGGAAUUACUGGGCGUAAAGCGCACGUAGGCGGUUCUUUAAGUCGGAGGUGAAAUCCUGGAGCUCAACUCCAGAACUGCCUUCGAUACUGAAGAGCUCGAGUCCGGGAGAGGUGAGUGGAACUGCGAGUGUAGAGGUGAAAUUCGUAGAUAUUCGCAAGAACACCAGUGGCGAAGGCGGCUCACUGGCCCGGUACUGACGCUGAGGUGCGAAAGCGUGGGGAGCAAACAGG
rnacentral:rRNA from 1 species